CACGUAGGCGGCUUCUUAAGUCAGGGGUGAAAUCCUGGAGCUCAACUCCAGAACUGCCCUUGAUACUGAGAAGCUUGAGUCCGGGAGAGGUGAGUGGAACUGCGAGUGUAGAGGUGAAAUUCGUAGAUAUUCGCAAGAACACCAGUGGCGAAGGCGGCUCACUGGCCCGGUACUGACGCUGAGGUGCGAAAGCGUGGGAGCAAACA
rnacentral:rRNA from 1 species